rnacentral:lncRNA from 1 species
AGGUCUCCUAUGCUGGUUUUUUAUAUUUUUACACCAUGUAAGUUCAAUUUUUACUAUUUCUUAGUAAUUUUUAUGUUUUGGUGAUUUUUACAAUUAGGUCCAAUCAUCUAAUUCAUUAGUUUUUGAUUUGAUGGGUGAAAUUGGAAGUUACCUGGCUGAGUAAGGGUAGUAUAUGAUGAAUUAUUAUGAAAUUGAAGUUCUAAUUUCAUAUUAAGGUUGUUUUAUUAAGUCAUUUUGAUAGAAAAUGGUAUUUAGGACCUGAUUGUGAAAAAGUUGUGAAUUAGAUGUUGGUGUUGAAAUUGAGAAUAUCAAAGGUUUUGAAAUAAUUUAUAAUGAUAAAAUAAAGUGUUAAUUGAGAAAAAAUUAGUUCAAUUGAUGGGUGAAUUGAGUAGGAACUAAAUUGUAAAAACUAUAAAUUUUAGAGUAAAAGUGUAAUUUCGAAAUUUGAACAGCAUAAAUUGUGAAGUGAAGUAGAAAUCAAAUAAAUGCUAAUGAGUAGAAAUAAUUUAUAUUAUAGAUCAAGAGAAACGAGAUUCAAGUCAUGAUCGAGGGAAAAAUAAAGUUUACGAGGAAUAGGCUCGAUUGCUAAUAUUUUAUAUCGAGGUAAGUUCAUAUGAUUUUUAAUAAUGCAAUGUGUAAUUUAAUGUUUUGAAAUGAAAAUUUCAUGAAUGAUAUAGUAUAUUAUUGUAUAUAAAAUGUCAUUAAACUGUGAUAAUUGUAAAAUGAUAUUUGAAUAAAAGUACAAAUUAAAUGGAACAACG